UAUACCACCGUCGCCAGCUUACCCUGUGAAGGAGAAAAAGUAAGCGAAAUGGAGACCCUCCAAAACGUCAGGUCGAGGUGUAGCAUACGAAGUGGGAAGAAAUGGGCUACAUUGCCUGACACAGGCUAUAUACGGAAAGUCACCUGAAAUAGUUACUCGAAGGUGGAUUUAGCAGUAAAAGGGGAGUAGAGCACCCUUUUGAAGCCGGCUCUGAAGCGCGCACACACCGCCCGUCACUCUCCCCAACAAGCCACUACACAAAGUAAAUAACACCACAGAACAAAAAAGGGGAGGCAAGUCGUAACAUGGUAAGUGUACCGGAAGGUGCACUUGGAAUAAC
rnacentral:rRNA from 1 species